UACGUAGGGUGCAAGCGUUAAUCGGAAUUACUGGGCGUAAAGCGUGCGCAGGCGGUUUUGUAAGUCAGAUGUGAAAUCUACGGGCUUAGCCUGUAACGUGCAGAGGAAACUGGAAGGCUUGAGUGUCGGAGAGGAUAGGGGAAUACCCAGUGUAGAGGUGAAAUUCGUAGAUAUCGGGAGGAACACCAGUGGCGAAGGCGGCGACCUGGGCCAAUAUUGACGCUGAGGUGCGAAAGCGUGGGGAGCAAACAGGG
rnacentral:rRNA from 1 species